AGAGUUUGAUCAUGGCUCAGAUUGAACGCUGGCGGCAGGCUUAACACAUGCAAGUCGAGCGGUAGCACAGGAGAGCUUGCUCUCUGGGUGACGAGCGGCGGACGGGUGAGUAAUGUCUGGGAAACUGCCUGAUGGAGGGGGAUAACUACUGGAAACGGUAGCUAAUACCGCAUAACGUCGCAAGACCAAAGAGGGGGACCUUCGGGCCUCUUGCCAUCAGAUGUGCCCAGAUGGGAUUAGCUAGUAGGUGGGGUAAUGGCUCACCUAGGCGACGAUCCCUAGCUGGUCUGAGAGGAUGACCAGCCACACUGGAACUGAGACACGGUCCAGACUCCUACGGGAGGCAGCAGUGGGGAAUAUUGCACAAUGGGCGCAAGCCUGAUGCAGCCAUGCCGCGUGUGUGAAGAAGGCCUUCGGGUUGUAAAGCACUUUCAGCGAGGAGGAAGGUGGUGAACUUAAUACGUUCAUCAAUUGACGUUACUCGCAGAAGAAGCACCGGCUAACUCCGUGCCAGCCGCCGCGGUAAUAC
rnacentral:rRNA from 1 species